rnacentral:ncRNA from 1 species
AAAAGACUUAGUCCUAACCUUAACAUUAAUUGUUGCCAAACAUAUACAUGCAAGCAUCCGCACCCCAGUGUAAAUGCCCUCAUUAUCUUGCCAAGACAGUAGGAGCGGGCAUCAGGCUCACACCACUAGUAGCCCAAAACGCCUUGCCACGCCACACCCCCACGGGUACUCAGCAGUAAUUAACAUUAAGCUAUAAGUGUAAACUUGACUUAGUUACGGCAAUCUUCAGGGUUGGUAAAUCUUGUGCCAGCCACCGCGGUCACACAAGAGACCCAAACUAAUGUUACUCGGCGUAAAGAGUGGACCCGCGCCUAUCCCCCCCGCUAGGACUGAAAUGUGACCAAGCUGUUAUAAGCCCAAGACACCCAUAAUACCCACAUACAAACGACCCUAGCCUCACGACCCAUCGAACUCCACGAAAGCUAGGCCACAAACUGGGAUUAGAUACCCCACUAUGCCUGGCCCUAAAUCUAGAUGUUUAACUACCCAAACAUCCGCCUGAGGACUACGAGCACAAACGCUUAAAACUCUAAGGACUUGGCGGUGCCUCAAACCCACCUAGAGGAGCCUGUUCUAUAAUCGAUAACCCACGAUAUACCCAACCAUCCCUUGCUGAACCAGCCUAUAUACCGCCGUCCCCAGCCCACCCCCAUGAUGAAGGACCAACAGUGAGCACAAUAGCCACACCCCCGCUAGCACGACAGGUCGAGGUAUAGCCCAUGGGAUGGUAGAAAUGGGCUACAUUUUCUACACUAGAAAAUUACGGCAAAAAGUGUGAAAUCACUUGUAAAAGGCGGAUUUAGAAGUAAAGCAGGACAAUCAAGCCUCCUUUAAACCGGCCCUGAGGCACGUACAUACCGCCCGUCACCCUCCUCACAAGCCACCACACAACCGACUAGCUAAUAACAACUCACGCUAAAGACGAGGUAAGUCGUAACAAGGUAAGUGUACCGGAAGGUGCACUUAGACUACC